ACCCCAGCCCUCUGCUUGCCAGGACUGGGAUGCUGUGUGUCCAUCUGGGCCAGCUGGAAACAAGAAGAAAGAAAGGGCUUGUGGCAUGAUUUGGGGCAGCCUGUGCACAGUGGCUGGCACAGAGCAAAGGCCCAAUAGAAGUUAAGCGAAGGGCAUUCUGACCACAAUGUCUUGUCAUUUCAGGUGUGACUGUGCCUAUAAUUGUACCAUAAGGAAUUCAGCCCAUGCGACUAAGCUAUGCCUUUCUCUGUAGUAGCUUAAUGGGAAAUCAGGGCAUCUCCGGCACUGU
rnacentral:lncRNA from 1 species